GUGAAUGGUUUUGGUAUUGAUUGCAUUUGUUAGUUGUAAAAUGCAAUGAUAGACAGUCACAUACAUCAAAACAGAUGGUUCCUCCUAAGAGAAUCUGUACAGUUGUUAGGUUUUUUGUUUUAGUUUGUUUGUU